UACGGGAGGCAGCAGUGGGGAAUUUUGGACAAUGGGCGAAAGCCUGAUCCAGCAAUGCCGCGUGUGGGAAGAAGGCCUUCGGGUUGUAAACCACUUUUGUACGGAACGAAACGGUUCGCUUUAAUACAGUGGGCUAAUGACGGUACCGUAAGAAUAAGCACCGGCUAACUACGUGCCAGCAGCCGCGGUAAUACGUAGGGUGCGAGCGUUAAUCGGAAUUACUGGGCGUAAAGCGUGCGCAGGCGGUUAUAUAAGACAGUUGUGAAAUCCCCGGGCUCAACCUGGGAAUUGCAUCUGUGACUGUAUAGCUAGAGUACGGUAGAGGGGGAUGGAAUUCCGCGUGUAGCAGUGAAAUGCGUAGAUAUGCGGAGGAACACCGAUGGCGAAGGCAAUCCCCUGGACCUGUACUGACGCUCAUGCACGAAAGCGUGGGGAGCAAACAGGAUUAGAUACCCUGGUAGUCCACGCCCUAAACGAUGUCAACUGGUUGUUGGGUGCAUUAGUACUCAGUAACGAAGCUAACGCGUAAGUG
rnacentral:rRNA from 1 species